rnacentral:rRNA from 1 species
AGGAUCGGCUAACUCCGUGCCAGCAGCCGCGGUAAUACGGAGGAUCCAAGCGUUAUCCGGAUUCAUUGGGUUUAAAGGGUCCGUAGGCGGAUUUUUAAGUCAGUGGUGAAAGCCGACAGCUCAACUGUCGAACUGCCAUUGAUACUGGAGAUCUUGAGUACAAAUGAAGUAGGCGGAAUAAGUCAUGUAGCGGUGAAAUGCAUAGAUAUGACUCAGAACACCAAUUGCGAAGGCAGCUUACUAACAUGUAACUGACGCUGAGGGACGAAAGCGUGGGGAGCGAACAGGAUUAGAUACCCUGGUAGUCCACGCCGUAAACGAUCAUCACUCGCUGUUGGCGAUAUACAGUCAGCGGCCAAGCGAAAGUAUUAAGUGAUGCACCUGGGGAGUACGCCGGCAACGGUGAAACUCAAAUGAAUUGACGGGG